AUUGAACGCUGGCGGCAUGCUUUACACAUGCAAGUCGAACGGUAACAGGCCGCAAGGUGCUGACGAGUGGCGAACGGGUGAGUAAUGCAUCGGAACGUGCCCAGUCGUGGGGGAUAACUACUCGAAAGAGUAGCUAAUACCGCAUACGAUCUAUGGAUGAAAGCGGGGGACCGUAGGGCCUCGCGCGAUUGGAGCGGCCGAUGUCAGAUUAGGUAGUUGGUGGGGUAAAGGCUCACCAAGCCAACGAUCUGUAGCUGGUCUGAGAGGACGACCAGCCACACUGGGACUGAGACACGGCCCAGACUCCUACGGGAGGCAGCAGUGGGGAAUUUUGGACAAUGGGCGCAAGCCUGAUCCAGCAAUGCCGCGUGCAGGAAGAAGGCCUUCGGGUCGUAAACUGCUUUUGUACGGAACGAAACGGCUCUGGUUAAUACCCGGGGCUAAUGACGGUACCGUAAGAAUAAGCACCGGCUAACUACGUG
rnacentral:rRNA from 1 species